rnacentral:tRNA from 1 species
ACCUCUAUAGCUCAAUGGUAGAGCCCACGAUCGAUAAUCGUGUGAUUACAGUUCAAAUCUGUAUGGAGGUAGCA